rnacentral:rRNA from 1 species
AUUGAACGCUGGCGGCAUGCUUUACACAUGCAAGUCGAACGGUAACAGGUCUUCGGAUGCUGACGAGUGGCGAACGGGUGAGUAAUACAUCGGAACGUGCCUAGUAGUGGGGGAUAACUACUCGAAAGAGUAGCUAAUACCGCAUGAGAUCUACGGAUGAAAGCAGGGGACCUUCGGGCCUUGUGCUACUAGAGCGGCUGAUGGCAGAUUAGGUAGUUGGUGGGGUAAAGGCUUACCAAGCCUGCGAUAUGUAGCUGGUCUGAGAGGACGACCAGCCAGACUGGGACUGAGACACGGCCCAGACUCCUACGGGAGGCAGCAGUGGGGAAUUUUGGACAAUGGGCGAAAGCCUGAUCCAGCAAUGCCGCGUGCAGGAUGAAGGCCCUCGGGUUGUAAACUGCUUUUGUACGGAACGAAAAGCCUGGGGCUAAUAUCCCCGAGUCAUGACGGUACCGUAAGAAUAAGCACCGGCUAACUACGUGCCAGCCGCCGCCGUAA